rnacentral:rRNA from 1 species
AACAGUUCCAGUUUAUUUGAUGGUCAUUCGGACAUGGAUAACUGUGGUAAUUCUAGAGCUGAUACAUGCGCCCAAACCCGACUCCUUGGAAGGGUUGUGUUUAUUAUUUACAGAACCAACCCAGGCUCUGCCUGGUCUUGUGGUGAUUCAUAAUAACCGAAUGAAUCGUGCUGCAUCUGGUGGCGAUGAAUCUUUCAAGUUUCUGACCUAUCAGCUUCCGACGGUAGGGUAUUGGCCUACCAAGGAAAUGACGGGUAACGGAGAAUUAGGGUUCGAUUCCGGAGAGGGAGCCUGACAAACGGCUGAACAUCUAAGGAAGGCAGCAGGCGCACAACUUACCCAAUCCUGACGCUUGGAGGGAGUGACAAGAAAUAACAAUCCAGGGCACCCAUGUCUGGUAAUUGGAGUGACUACAAUUUAAAUCCCUUUAUCAGUAUCAAUUGGAGGGCAAGUCUGGUGCCAGCAGCCGCUCGUAAUUCCGACUCCAAGAUCGUAUAUUAAAGUUGUUGCUGCUAAAAAAGCUCGU